GGGCCUGCUCUGUGGUCGGCAUGGAGCUCGACUCUCUGAUGACGGUGGCAGAGGAAAGAACACUCAACAGACUGCUGGCCAUACUGGACAACGCCAGCCAUCCUCUGCACGCCGUCAUCACCAAACAGAGGAGCUGAGAUCGGAACAGCA